AGAGUUUGAUCCUGGCUCAGGAUGAACGCUAGCUACAGGCUUAACACAUGCAAGUCGAGGGGCAGCAUGGUCUUAGCUUGCUAAGGCCGAUGGCGACCGGCGCACGGGUGAGUAACACGUAUCCAACCUGCCGUCUACUCUUGGACAGCCUUCUGAAAGGAAGAUUAAUACAAGAUGGCAUCAUGAGUCCGCAUGUUCACAUGAUUAAAGGUAUUCCGGUAGACGAUGGGGAUGCGUUCCAUUAGAUAGUAGGCGGGGUAACGGCCCACCUAGUCUUCGAUGGAUAGGGGUUCUGAGAGGAAGGUCCCCCACAUUGGAACUGAGACACGGUCCAAACUCCUACGGGAGGCAGCAGUGAGGAAUAUUGGUCAAUGGGCGAGAGCCUGAACCAGCCAAGUAGCGUGAAGGAUGACUGCCCUAUGGGUUGUAAACUUCUUUUAUAAAGGAAUAAAGUCGGGUAUGUAUACCCGUUUGCAUGUACUUUAUGAAUAAGGAUCGGCUAACUCCGUGCCAGCAGCCGCGGUAAUACGGAGGAUCCGAGCGUUAUCCGGAUUUAUUGGGUUUAAAGGGAGCGUAGAUGGAUGUUUAAGUCAGUUGUGAAAGUUUGCGGCUCAACCGUAAAAUUGCAGUUGAUACUGGAUAUCUUGAGUGCAGUUGAGGCAGGCGGAAUUCGUGGUGUAGCGGUGAAAUGCUUAGAUAUCACGAAGAACUCCGAUUGCGAAGGCAGCCUGCUAAGCUGCAACUGACAUUGAGGCUCGAAAGUGUGGGUAUCAAACAGGAUUAGAUACCCUGGUAGUCCACACGGUAAACGAUGAAUACUCGCUGUUUGCGAUAUACGGCAAGCGGCCAAGCGAAAGCGUUAAGUAUUCCACCUGGGGAGUACGCCGGCAACGGUGAAACUCAAAGGAAUUGACGGGGGCCCGCACAAGCGGAGGAACAUGUGGUUUAA
rnacentral:rRNA from 1 species